UUUUUGUAUUACCAUAACCGUAAUUGAGUUGGGUGGUGGUGACAUUCCGUUUAUAUAUAUUUUUCACAAAUUUUUGUCUGCAUUUGCGAUUUUGGGAAGUCUAUGGGGACUUUUAUUUUGGUGGCUUGGAGUUUUUUUUAAAAGGAAACAGUUCAUAGUACGAUAGAAUUAUACUAUGAGCAAACAAACCAAGGAUCAGGAGGUACUCCCGGAUAUCUCAACUAGAUUGACACCCCUUAGCACCCUCAUCAUAUCCAUACAUGAUAUAAAGAUAAAACAACUAACAAUGUCCGUGUGCAGGGCUAAAAACAGCCAAUACAACCCAAAAAAAACAUAAGAAACUACUUCUAACAAGACUAGAAAUAAAAAAUACAGCGAGACAGAAAGAUUCUGAAACUAUUAGAAAGGCUAUGAGCCAAUUCUGCAGCGUCCGCAAGGAGGGAAGAUAAAGACCUGCCAGUUUUGUAAGAUAGAGAAGUCUUUAAAUUGUGUACUUAGGGAGAACCACAAAGAGGCAUUCAGGCAUGUGAACUCGUAUCUAUCAGACCAAGAGGAGGUUUUAUUGUGGAAGACUCUCAAACCACAGUUCCACCAAAAUUGCCUUGACAGCACUGCACUAAAGCAAGGAAGCAUUUUUCAUCAUAACCGGACCAAUAAGUUUAUGUCUAACAUUAUUCUUGCACUGAUAAGAAAAGGAAACUGAAGAGGUGAUUUUAAAGAGGAAAGAGAAAGAUCCAGCAGUGUCAACUGUUUUGCCCAAUGAAAUUCCAAGAGUCAUUCACGAGUUUAAUGAACCGACAGCUGGGUCAUUUUCAAGAAUUUGAGAGUUAACUUUGUUGCAAACGAAAAUUUAAAUGACAGCCUAAUUCUUUAUCAUCCAAGACAGCCCAACAGUCACAUGGCCUCAUUACAACUGUUCCAAGUUCCUCUGUUGGCAGAGAGCUAUCCCAUGUUUCUUCUGAGCCGUUAGUACCUCCCAUUCUUGAUGUUUCAAAUCACUGCAACCCCUUGUCCGGAAAAAAUUCAAAACUUCUUAUUUCCCUUCCUCCCUUUUGAAUGUUUCUUCUUUAACUUCUUCCUCAGUCAGAUUUACAUCUAAAAAAGGAUCAAGCUCCAACCAAAAGGGAGAAAUGGGCACUUAUUCAAGCCUUUUUCAAAGCACUUUGUUAGAAGAAAGAAAGCAAACGAAACCAUUAAAAAGAGACUCCUUAAGGAGGAGUUGAUUCCCUAGCAGAAUCCUGAUGUUUUAGAAGCUAAUUGUGCUAAAGUUUAAGUUCUCUCUCAAGUUAAUAAGUCAAAUUCUCAAUCCUCUAAUCUUCAAGCCUUUGAAUACUCUAGUGUGAGAUAACAAGAGAGGCACUUUAUGCCAUAUUCCGGUCAUUCCAUCCAAAAAGAAGUGUGAGAUAACAUUUGAUUCUCCUUUUAGUGUGAGAAAUGUAGAAUUUGAAAAUUGGAAAGGAUGGAAGAAAAUGAGGGGUUAUCGCAUUCGGAGCCUCUAGAAACAGACCUUAAUGCUUUGUUUCAAUUGGAUGAAGAUUUGAAAGAUGAUUUGACAGUUCUUGAAAAGUGCUUGGUUUGCCCACUAUCAGUUCUGCCCAUUGGACUUUUAGAUCAUUUGAAAUUGAUAGUAGCUGAUUGCAGAAUAGUAUUGGGCUGAUCCUUCUCAGAAAACUGAGUUAUUGCUUUGUAUAAUUCUCUUGUAUUUUGAGCAUUAGUCUCAUUUUAUUUAAUUAAUGAAGAGGCUUGUUUCCAUUAAAAAAAGUGUUAUUCUUGCACUCUUUACAAAGGACCCAGCUGAGAUUAAUGGUGUGAAAGAGUUUAUUCCAACAUUUGGCAGCAUAAACACAUUCAAACAAGAUGUGCUGGAGUUCGUCAUGCUAGUUGAGGCAGAAUGGGCAUAUCUGUGGCAAAAUAUAACAAGUGGGCAAUUUCUUUUGCAUAACGGAUGCACAAUUUAAAUCUGACCGCUGAAGAAGUGAGUCGGGUAGUGUUCUGUUCUGCCAGCUGCAAGUGAGUUAGGGAUAGAAUUGUGCAUCCUCAUUUGCUACCACCAUCCUCAUUUACGAACCACCUUGCACCAUCAAGAGUUCCGUUCUGCCAUGAACCUCCACUCCCACUGUUUCCAAUUUUCAGCUUGUCCAACCCAAGACCCCCAUGUCCUUGGGAUUUGGUAACCAAUUCCCAUUUCAUUAGGUGAUUCAACUUGCUACCAUUGUUCCCUUCCCAAAAGAAGUUCCUUAUGGAUCUUUCAAUGGAAUUAGAGACUUUCUGGCACGUGGAAUGUGGACAUGAAGUGGGAAGAUUGGAGAGCACGGAUGAGCAAAGGGUAAGUCUUCGUCCUCUUGAAAGAUUCAACCACUUUCAUUUAUCUAAUUUCUGUUGUACUUUAUCUAGAACAGGCUGCCAAUAGCGAACACUUUUUGGAUAUCCUCCCAAAGGAAGACCUAGAUACAUCAAAGGGAGCUUUUCUAUCUUACAAUUCAGCAUGGAUGCCUCUAAGGAGAUCUUGCUUUCCUCAAUAUUAACUCCGCGUAUAGCUGACUUUUCCCAAUUUAUCUUUCGCCCAGAACAGCACUAAAAAAUUUCAAGCAUCUUUUUUAAGUUCACAAGCAUCAAACCUGCAAAAGAUUAAGGGGUCGUCUGCGAAUUGAAGGAGUGGAACAUGAACAUUGUCUUUUCCUACCGUUAGACCUUCAUACAAAUCUUUAAGUGCAGAUUUGAAAUGAGGCUACUACUAAGCACUUAACUAACAAAAAGGAAAAGGAAGGGGGACAGAGGAUCCCCUUGCCUUAACCCACCUGAAGCUUGAAUUCUUCCUCUUGGUCUGCCCUGAUUUCCACCAGCGGACCAAAAUAAAUGCCUUUUCAAGAGCAAUGAAGAAAUUAAAGGGUCAGAUCGCUCUACUUUAUUUGAUGAAGCCAUCACUAUUCCCUUCAAAGUCCCCUCGGAAUAGACUAAGGAUCUGCUGCCCUUAGUCAAUUAUUGUGGCGGGUUUAACGAAAGAUUGAUAAGUCUUACACCCUCUCAUCGAGCCUCAUGAAGUUAAUUUAUUGGAACACUUGGGGCUUAAAUGACAUCACAAAAAGGGCAGCCUUGAAGAAAUUCAUAAAAAUUCAUGAUCUGGAUAUAGUUUUGAUCCAAGAAUAUAAAAUGGAAAUCAACUCUAUCUUUAUGAAAUCAAUAUGGAGUUCUAGAGACAUCGGUUGGUAUUUUGUGGGAUCAGUAGGGCCCUAAAUUGUUCAGAAAUCCUCCAAAAGAAGUCCCCAAACAGGUGCCUCCAGCCUUCGGUUUGCCAUCUCUGUAUGAACGCUAAUGAGUCAUUGCUUCAUCCUUUUCUGCUUUGUCCCUAUUCCUCCUUUGGAUGCUAACAGUUUCUUCUCCAUCUUUGAUAUUGCAUGGGUCUUUGAUGCUUCCCUCGGCUCCUCGGUGCUUCAACUAUUUGAGGGUCCAUCUCUACCUAAGAAGUCUCGGCUCAUUUGGCUAAAUUUAUUAAAAGCUCUUCUAGCAGAAUUGUGGUUGUUAAACAACAGAACUUUCACGAUAAGCAAAGCCCAAGAUUACUCCACUCAAGAUAUUUGUCUCAACUGGGCAGUCUUCCUAUCUCAACCAGUCCCCUAGGCCUGCUUCUGAUGUGGUGUCCCAACUGCAUCUUGAUAUCUUCGUUCGCUUCCUGGCCGCCUUCUAUGGAGCUUAGUUUGAUGCCUUCUUUUGUUUGAACACAGUAGUAGUUUUGUUAUAGAGGCUCAACCCUUGUACUGUACUGCACUGUUUCUGCCCUAUUUUCUUUCCUGUAUUUCUCUUGUUUUUCAGUUUUCUGUACUAGUCUGGACUUAGUUCCCAUUGUAAUGUGGUUCAAUUUUUCUAGUCUUAAUUGAGAUAUGAUUUUUUGGUGCCAAGGGGGUGUUAACCUAGUUGAGAUUUCUGGGUGCAUUUUUGAUCUCCUAGUUUUUCUGCUGUUUAGACUUCUUUAUUACGCUAUUGUAUAAUUCUCUUGUACUUUGAGUUCUUAUUAUUGAUAAAGAAGUUUGUCACCUUUAAAAAAAAAAGGUCCAAUUUGAUAAUCCAUCCCUUUUCUUUUUGGACCUAUAAUCCUCCACAACUUCAGCAAUAAGUAAAGGAUCCAGAAUUUGAUGGCCUUCCAAAAAAGCACUUUAAGUGGGAGCUAUAAUACUGGCCAUAAUUAUAUUGAUUCUCUCAGCAAGCAGUUUUACAAUCAAUUUGUACCGCAAAGUAGUGAGACGUAUGAGCCGGAAAUAUCUUACCUUUAUUGCAAUUUCCUUUUCUUGAUCGAGCAAAUAAAGUUCAUGCAUUUAGUUUCCCUCUCAAGAACUCAUUAAAUAAUUUGAAGAGAUUACCCGUGAGGAGAUCCCAAAAUUUAAUGAAGAAUUCUAACGUGAAGCCAUCUGGAACUGGAGCUUUAUUUAUUUCUUUCCAUUGAUUUUAGUGCUGCUCUUAUUUCCACCAAACUAAAUUUUGAGAUAUGCCAUUUAUUUUGCACUUGCACGAGGAGAUUUCUUACAGAGGGUGUCGUAGAAAUGUGAUCGGGUGUCCUUGAUCAUUAAUAAGCUCGGGAACUAGAUUUCUUCUUCUUCUUCUUUUCUUGUUUUGCAGCAAGAAAACGAUGGAAGAAACUUGUACUUUUGACCCCCAAUUUUAGCCAAUUCAACUAACUUUUCUGGAUUAAAUCUCUUUCCUUCCUCCUAUAAAGAGCUAGAAAAUCCACUGAUCCUCAAAGAAAUAAAAUGAGUUUUCUUCCAACGUAAGUUCUCUCUCUAUAUUUUCUCUUCCACCCUUCCCCCCUUCCGUUCUCUUCACCCAUCCUCUCCGGCAAAUUUUCCAGCUAUCCCUUGCUCCACCUUCACCCUCCGACAUCAUCUUUAGCCCUUCUUCGGCAACCUUCUGGUGUUCACUUCUGACACAGCUCAGUUUCUUGACUGCUAGAUACAAUGGAAGUUGUAAGUUUUAAGAUUUUUCAUUCACACUACUGUGUUUGGAUGGAGAACAAACGAGUCCACUUGGAAGACGUUGAAGCUCAGAUCAUCCUGGUUGUUUCAGAGAGUCAAUUGAAAUGGUAUUCAGACGCCUUACCAGAGGGCCGCUUCUUUAAGAGAUAUGGAGAGUUAGACCGCGGGAGAUUGAAGCUAUCCAAAUUCAGGGCUGCCACCGGUUGAACUCUUUGUUGUGAUCUUUAGCCGGCUUCGGGUGGACGCUGAACCGUUUGGGUUUCCUCAGGGGAAGCCGAAAAGGGGUGGUUGUCUUUCCUUCAGAUGCUGGAAAAGUUCUUUUCGAACUUGGAGUAUAAGAAGUGGUUUUUGAACCACAGCCCCUGAUUUCGUUACCCUCCUUCAAAUCAGAGAUGAAGUUAUGCUGAUAAAUUUAAAUAUCUGGGCAUCUCAGCUUGUGAGCGGAAAGAGGUUGAUCAGAGCAUCAGUAAAGGAGAGAUAAAGAGCCUUCAGUCGCCCUGCUAUGAAAACAGUUUUACAGAACCAGCAGACCCCUGUUUGACACCAAUAAAACAGAGCAGCCUCCAUAAAAGAAAUCAGAACUCAUCCUACUGGAUCCACAAGAACGGGAAGUUUUGAAGGAGGAUUUCAGAAGCUUAUGAGUACUUGAAAAUUUUUUGUGCAUAACGACUGGAGGGACAUCAUUAAAUUUUUAGAGGAACAUUUUCAAAUCAACAUCAGCUUCAAUCCUCUGUUUGAAGAUAAAGCUUUAAUACGCUCAUCAAGUGGAAAACUGGAAGACUUGAUUGAGAAGCCGGGGAAAUCGAAAUGUUAUGGGCUUUUCUACCUUCUAUUUGAAAAAUGGAACAAACUCAAGCAUGGUAGGCCUGAAUUUAUUAGAGGAUUUGGUAGGUGGAUCUCCAUAGAAAACCUCCUGCUUGAUUACUGGACAAAGGACAUCUUCACUGCAAUUGGAAAUUAUUUUGGAGUCCUUAAAAAUAUUUCAUUUGGCACUAUGAAUAUGACCAAUGUGUUGGAAGCUAAAAUAAAAGUGAAACAGAACCUCAGUGGCUUGUUGCCUAGCAACUAUUGAACUGAAGGACUAAGUCCGUGGCAAAAAUUUUCUUAAUUUUGUGACAUUAAGGAUAUUGAAGAGCCUGCAGCUAUUCAGAACACUCUCUUUAUCAGGGAAUUUUUUAAUCAAAUUGAUUUAGUAAGAAUAGAUCAAGCCUUAAAGGAGGAAGGAAUAGAUCUGAAAGUUCUGAAACCGGAAUGGGCAUUUCUCUACUCGUCUCAUUCAAAACCAGAUUUUGCAAGGAAUCCUUUCAGUCAGUCAGUUUCUUAAAUCAGCACAAGCUUGCCCCAGUCGGUGAACCAUCCUCAUCCUACCAGAAUUCUUCUCCUGCCGCAUUAAAAGUUGAAAAAGAAAUUAAAAUUAGGAAGGAAUAUUCUUGCAGAAGUUGAAGAGGUGCCGUUAAGAAGGAUUGAGACUUUUUCGGCUUGGCCCACCUGUCAUGCCCAAAAAAAAUCAGGACAGACCCACACGCAUGAUAUGAAUUUAUAUGCGGGUAAUAAUCCACGGAAAGGAGAACAAAUGGCACCUGGUUACUCCCCAGCCAUUACUUUUUCUCCAAAGAAUCGGCCAUUGCCCAUUGCCCAAUUAGAGCAGUUAAUUUCUUCCUCAAUUGCCGCUUCAGUGCCCCAUCAAAAUUCCUCCCAGUAAAAUCCCAUCCACCUCUUCAUCUUCAGUUUCUCUCUCCUCUACAUCUUUUUCUUCCUUGGCAUGAUCGAAGUCCAAAACUAAAAACAAAAGCAAGUCAAAAACAAAAAAAAUUCCUCCACUUUUUAAACCAUUCCCGAACAAUCUGUUUGGAAGAAAGAGAUCGAAGGAGGUCACAAGAUUAAGAACUCUAAAGGCCAAGCUAAUAUCAGAACAAAACCCAGAUUUGUUGAAGGAAAAAUGUGCCCAUGCCCAUUCCCAUUCUUCAUCUCUCUCUAACAGGUCAGAACCCCAAGCUUCCAUUCUUCCGCAAUGUACACUCUGUUUUCUCCUACACGCAAAUCAAAGGUUGAUAGAGAUGUUGACUCUCCUUUUAGUGUGAGUAGUGAAGAAGACGUUCAGUUUGAAAGAACAGAUGAAAAGGAGAUUCAGCACUCGAAGGAACCCCUGGACACUAAUCUCAAUGCUCUAUUUCACAGAGGAAGAUUUGUUCAAUGAAACACACUGUUCAGAAAUUUCAAUACACCUGAAAUCUAUCGUUGACAAGUGCAAUUUGGUCUUGGCCUAAGUUCUACAUGAAGCUUUUGGGAGGGGCACAAAGGCAGCAAAAUCAAUCACCUUGUUAGAUGGGAAACAGUUACCAGAGAUUUGGUGGAUGGUGGUCUCGGGUUAGGAGGAUUCAAAGCAAAACAUAUGACCCUUUGAGCUAAAUGGGGUUGGAGAUUCUUGGGAGAAGAAGACUCUUUGUGGUUAGCUAAAUGGGGUUGUAGUGAAGAAGAUUCUUGUUGCCUCUUGUGUAACCCUCUUGUACUUAGAGCUACUGUCUCUUUUUUAUCCAUUAAUAAAGAAACCUGUUUCAAUCCGCUGUGGAA